rnacentral:rRNA from 1 species
AUUGAACGCUGGUGGCAUGCUUAACACAUGCAAGUCGAACGGUAACAGGAGAAGCUUGCUUCUUGCUGACGAGUGGCGGACGGGUGAGUAACGCGUAGGAAUCUGCCCAUCUGUGGGGGAUACCAGUUGGAAACGACUGUUAAUACCGCAUAAUAUCUGCGGAUUAAAGGUGGCCUUUGUGCUGCCGCAGAUGGAUGAGCCUGCGUUGGAUUAGCUUGUUGGUGGGGUAAAGGCCUACCAAGGCUACGAUCCAUAGCUGAUUUGAGAGGAUGAUCAGCCACAUUGGGACUGAGACACGGCCCAAACUCCUACGGGAGGCAGCAGUGGGGAAUAUUGGACAAUGGGCGAAAGCCUGAUCCAGCAAUGCCAUGUGUGUGAAGAAGGCUCUAGGGUUGUAAAGCACUUUAGUUGGGGAGGAAAGCUUAUAGGUUAAUAGCCUAUGAGAAGGACGUUACCCAAAGAAUAAGGACCGGCUAACUCCGUGCCAGCAGCCGCGGUAAUACGGGGGGUCCGAGCGUUAAUCGGAAUUACUGGGCGUAAAGGGUCUGUAGGUGGUUUGUUAAGUCAGAUGUGAAAGCCCAGGGCUCAACCUUGGAACUGCAUUUGAUACUGGCAAACUAGAGUAUGGUAGAGGAAUGGGGAAUUUCUGGUGUAGCGGUGAAAUGCGUAGAGAUCAGAAGGAACACCAAUGGCGAAGGCAACAUUCUGGACCGAUACUGACACUGAGGGACGAAAGCGUGGGGAUCAAACAGGAUUAGAUACCCUGGUAGUCCACGCUGUAAACGAUGAGUACUAGCUGUUGGAUUCGGUGUAAAGGAUCUAGUGGCGCAGCUAACGCGUUAAGUACUCCGCCUGGGGACUACGGCCGCAAGGCUAAAACUCAAAGGAAUUGACGGGGACCCGCACAAGCGGUGGAGCAUGUGGUUUAAUUCGAUGCAACGCGAAGAACCUUACCUGGUCUUGACAUCCUGCGAACUUUCUAGAGAUAGAUUGGUGCCUUCGGGAACGCAGUGACAGGUGCUGCACGGCUGUCGUCAGCUCGUGUUGUGAAAUGUUGGGUUAAGUCCCGCAACGAGCGCAACCCCUAUUGAUAGUUACCAUCAUUAAGUUGGGUACUCUAUUGAGACUGCCGCUGACAAGGCGGAGGAAGGUGGGGACGACGUCAAGUCAUCAUGGCCCUUACGACCAGGGCUACACACGUGCUACAAUGGGUAUUACAGAGGGCUGCGAAGGUGCGAGCUGGAGCGAAACUCAGAAAGGUACUCUUAGUCCGGAUUGCAGUCUGCAACUCGACUGCAUGAAGUCGGAAUCGCUAGUAAUCGCAGGUCAGAAUACUGCGGUGAAUACGUUCCCGGGUCUUGUACACACCGCCCGUCACACCAUGGGAGUGGGUUGCUCCAGAAGUAGAUAGCUUAACGAAUGGGCGUUUACCACGGAGUGAUUCAUGACUGGGGUGAAGUCGUAAUCAAGGUAGCCGUA